ACAAUGUCAAGGUCAUUCUCUGGUUGAAGUCGUGUUGUUUAGUUAUGAAAAGGACAAAAAAGAAUACAUUUAAAAUCUAAAAUUAAAAUGGGGACGAGAAGCAACCGAUAUUUAUUUUUUCCACUUUCAUUCGGAGCAACUCUUUUAGGAUUUGCAAUUGCAGGUUUAACUUAUAGAAAGUAUAUAGCAGAUGACGUAGUUGAAGCAAGGAACAGACGUAUUGAUGACAUAUCCGCUCAGAAACAAAGACUGGAUACAGCAAACAAAGAGGCAGUGGAAGAGAAUCUUGCAAAAUUAAAAAAUUUGAAACAAAAAUAAUUUACUAGUACUACUGUUUCUUUUGUGGAAGAGACUUUUGAACUGUGAAGAAGUAUUAUUGAAAAAUGACACAAUGCCUUUAUAUACUAGUAUUAUACUAGUAUAUAUACAUGCAGUAAAGACACCACGAUUUUGUAUUUAAAUGUACAGUUUUGCUAACAUCAUACAACCAAGAUUACUUUCUGGUGUUGUGUGGAAAUUAUAUAUUCAUUAAUCUUCUCAGCUACAGUGUAUAUCAUAUAACAGACAGACUAUAUCGAUUGUAAUCCAAGCCAAGUAUUUAAAGCGUAAAUAGACAGUCUAUAUCGAUUGUUAUCAAAGCCAAGUAUUUAAAGCAUAAAUAGACAGUCGAUAUCGAUUGUAAUCCAAGCCAAGUAUUUAAAGCAUAAAUUUAUUGUAGCUUUUUAUCAUCGGUUUUAUAGACUAAUCACAUAUAUGUAAGAAUGAGGAAUAAAACUGUAUAAUGUGUAAUAUAUUA